CUUUGUUUCCCCUCAAAAUAAAAUAAAAUUGAAGAAAGAAAAAAAACAAUGUAUAAUCAAAUUCUCAUUGACCCAAACCCAAACCCUAAAUUUCAUCCCUUUUUUUCCGCGCUUCUGUCGGUCAAUUCCAUCCUUAUUUCCUGAUUCCAGAUCUUUAUCUAUUUCAAGAUUAUUGAGAAGCAUUUAUGAGAUGUUGUGAUUGGUGAUGGUUGUGAAGAUGGAUAGACCACUUGCUUCUUCUUCGUUUUCGUCGUCUUCGUAUGACCGUGCCCGACGUCUUUUCGAGAAAAAUAUUGAGUUGCAAAAUAGGCGUAAGAAGGCGAUUCAGGCAAGGCUGCCGUCAGAUCCAAAUACUUGGCAGCAAAUACGUGAUAAUUAUGAAGCAAUAAUACUUGAAGACAAUCAAUUUUCUGAGAAGCACAAUGUUGAAUUUAGCCUAUGGGAUUGGCACUAUAAGCGUAUUGUGGAAUUUAGGAAUCAUUAUAACACUUUAUCUGCUUCUGAUUCAACUACUUCUCAGCAUAGGGGAGGGCCUGCCCGAACCGAUAAGGCACAAAAAAUACGUCUUCAAUUUAAAACUUUUCUCUCAGAAGCUACUGGUUUUUACCAUGAGUUCCUCUUAAAAAUUAGAGCCAAAUAUGGUCUCCCGAUGGGGCAGUUCUAUCCUGAUUCUGAGAACCAUAAUCUGAAUGAGAAAGAUGAAAAGAAAUCAGCUGAGUUUAAAAUGGGCUUGCAAUCCUGCCACCAGUGUUUGAUAUACUUGGGUGAUCUUGCACGUUACAAAGGACUGUACGGUGAAGGUGAAUCAAAAGGUCGUGAUUAUGCAGCGGCUUCAAGUUACUACUUGCAAGCAGCUUCUCUUUGGCCAUCAAGUGGGAAUUCACACCAUCAGCUCGGUGUAUUGGCUAAUUAUUCAGGGGACGAAUUUUUGGGGUUAUAUCGGUACUUCCGAAGUCUGGCAGUUAAAUAUCCUUCUUCGACAUCAAAAGAAAAUUUGUCAUUAGUCUUUGAGAAGAAUCGGCAAAGUUACACUCAACUGCAUAUCGAUCCAAAAGCCUCAUUUGUGAAGGAAACAUCUAUUAGGACAAUAGGUAAAGGAGGGGGUAAAGCAGAGCCUGUAGUACGAUCGAAGGAGCCAAUUACUGAUGUUGUGAAACUUCGCCGGAUGUUUAAAGCAUUUCGUGUUUGUUUUGUCCGCCUAAAUGGUAUUCUUUUCACGCGGACAAGCUCGGAGACAUUUGAAGAAAUCCUUUCUCUAGUUACCAAUGCUUUGCAGGAGCUUCUUUCUUCUGGGCCAGAAGAGGAGCUGAAUUUUGGCACUGAUGCUGUAGAGAAUGGACUUUUUAUUGUAAUACUUGUUUCCAUACUUAUAUUUACAGUGAAUAAUGUGAAAGUUGGGACCGAAGGUCAGAGCUAUGCAAAUAUUGUACAAAACACAGUGCUGAUAAAAAAUGCACUCAUCGCAUUCUUUGAGAUAAUGGGCCAGUUACUAAAAAGAUGCCUACAGCUAUCUGACCCUGUCUCAAGUUUCCUGUUGCCCGGCAUUUGUGUUUGUGUAGAAUGGAUUGCCUGUCAUCCUGAUAUUGUUAUACACAAUGAAAUCGAUGAAAAACGUUCAAAAGCUCAGAUUAACUUUUGGAGCUACUACAUAUCUUUGUUGAACAAGCUAUUAUCUGCUGGUCUGGUUACCUGUGAUGACGAAGAUAUCAGCUGCUUCACUGAAAUGACAACGUAUGAUGAGGGUGAUAAUGAAUACCAGCCUGCAUUGUGGGAGGAUUUUGAGUUAAGAGGAUUCUUGCCCCUUCAGCCUGCACAAACGUUUUUGGAUUUCUCAAGGAAGCAUUCUGACAGCAAGAAAGAUAAAGUAGCGCGUGUGAAGAGGAUCCUUGCCGCGGGGAAACUAAUUGCAGAAAAGAUUACUAUUGACAACAAGAAGGUGAUGUUUGAUUCAAAAAUGAGGAAGUUUGUUAUAGGUAAUGAGACUCAUAAAGACACAGGAAGCCCCAACUCAAAUGGGGGAAUUAAAGGACAGUUUAGUGAUACAACUUCAACCAUUGUAGUCAAACAGUCAAAGGCGGAAUUACAUGCGGAAGUUGAAGACGAGGAUGAAGUAAUUGUCUUCAGACCAAGUUUGACUGAUAAUCGAAGUGAAGUGCUUGUUUCAAAAGGUCGUCAUCAAGAAGGGUUUGAGCAUGUGCAAAAUGAAGAGGAUAGUACUUAUCAGUUUGAAGCUCCUGUUUCAGUGCCACAUGCUGAUAUUCACCAAAUAAAUGCAGUAUACAUUAAUUCACAGUCCGUUUUGCCAGCUAACAAUUAUACUCAAACCAUUGGGAAGCAAGCUAGCAAUGAGUCUCAAAGUGUCGGGCAGCAAGUAAACACUAACCCUCAAAGUAUCCAGCAGCAAGUUAACAAUAAUUUUCAAAGCAUUGGGCAGCCAGUUAACAACUAUACUCAAAGCAUCGGGCAACCAGUUAACAAUGAUACUCGAGGUGUCGGGCAGCAAGUUAAUGUUAAUACCUCAAGCAUUGGGCAGCAUUUUAACGAUUAUACUCAAAUAAUUGGGCAGCCGGUUAACAAUUAUACUCAAAGCUUUGGGCAGCCAUACCAUAUCCAGUCUCCAAUGUGGUCUGGCAACAGACAAGUGGCAGUUUCAGUUGCUGAUGGUUUGCAAGGCUUGAACCUACUGGAAAAUGGGCAUUUAGGUCAACAUGGAAUGCACAGAGAUAUUCAGAUAUCAAAUACUACUGGUAUCGGGGAAAGUGGUAUGAUGUAUAGCGGAGCAUCUCAAAGUAAGGUAGGGUCCUCUGUGGUUGGUAGAGAAGCUAGCACUCAUAUAAACACAAUUGCACCAUCUGGACCCGACCCUUACAUUGUGGGUCGAAAUACAUUCUCAAACUUGUCAAAUAGCUCUUUGAAAGUUUCUACCAACAGACCUGUAAGACACAUGGGACCACCACCUGGUUUUAGCUCUGUACGUCCUAAGCAAAUCAAUGAGCAUGGUUCUGCUUUGGGCCAGAAUCCCCUAAUUGAUGAUUACAGCUGGUUAGAUGGAUAUCAGUUGCAAUCAUCUAUGAAGGGUAGUCUUCCAACAGCUAAUUUGCCAUCAAAUCUGACUUCCCAGUAUAUAAAUGAUCCUGUAGCUACUGCUAGUUUCCCAUUUCCUGGAAAACAUGCUUCAGUGGUUCAGUUUGAAGGGGAAAAGCAGAAAAGUAUGCAAAGGUCUGACAUUCAGCAUGAAUCACUUCAACAACAAUAUAUUUCUCGAGCAGACCAACAAGGGCAUUCCCUGUGGAAAGGCAAUCAGUUCGUGUGAUCUCUCUGAGCUUUGCAUGGUCAUUUGUGGUUAUUAUGAUGGCCUUUGAUCCUCUUAUCCUGAAGUACACACUCCAGCUUCCAUUCAAUUUUCUUAAUUUUGUGUUGGAGCAUGAUGGUGCUGUCAAUCCCGGCAUCUUGCAGGCAAAAAGAGGCUGCGACUACUUUUCCCUUUAGAGUCCAAAAGAACCACCUAAUGUUAUGCAUUUCUGGUUAUGCUUUGGGGAUGGAUGUCAACCGUAUGAACAUCCACUGGGUAUAAUAUCUGUAUGAAUGUCUGCUGAGUUUGUGGCUUAUCUUUGGGGAUAAGUGGUGGAUUAUGAAUGGAAGCGUGCUUAAUCUGGAUUGCAGUUCCGUCUUGAUAUUUUCUUUUGUUGAUACUAUCUUCGACCAUUCGAGGGGUUUGUAAUAAUGCCUAAUACUUUCCUUCCGAGUAUAUUUACGGUGGGUUGUUUAAGAGUUAAAACUACUACUAAACAAGUGGAUGUGUUUCUUGGAUAUUUUCUGAAGAUUUUUGAACACAUAAGGUCAUGUUGUGGUCUCAACAUGGUUUCUGAACAAAUAUAUUUCAUCUAUCAAUUUUCUGUUGCCAGGGUA